rnacentral:rRNA from 1 species
UGGGGAAUAUUGCACAAUGGGCGCAAGCCUGAUGCAGCCAUGCCGCGUGUGUGAAGAAGGCCUUCGGGUUGUAAAGCACUUUUGUCCGGAAAGAAAUCCUUGGCUCUAAUACAGUCGGGGGAUGACGGUACCGGAAGAAUAAGCACCGGCUAACUACGUGCCAGCAGCCGCGGUAAUACGUAGGGUGCAAGCGUUAAUCGGAAUUACUGGGCGUAAAGCGUGCGCAGGCGGUUUGCUAAGACCGAUGUGAAAUCCCCGGGCUCAACCUGGGAACUGCAUUGGUGACUGGCAGGCUAGAGUAUGGCAGAGGGGGGUAGAAUUCCACGUGUAGCAGUGAAAUGCGUAGAGAUGUGGAGGAAUACCGAUGGCGAAGGCAGCCCCCUGGGCCAAUACUGACGCUCAUGCACGAAAGCGUGGGGAGCAAACAGGAUUAGAUACCCUGGUAGUCCACGCCCUAAACGAUGUCAACUAGUUGUUGGGGGAUUCAUUUCCUUAGUAACGUAGCUAACGCGUGAAGUUGACCGCCUGGGGAGUACGGUCGCAAGAUUAAAGCUCAAAUG